UGUUAAUUACUAAGCACAUUUAUGCUUUACUUUUCGGCACCAUAAUGUAAAUUUUUUAGGAAAUAGUUUCUAGUUUGAGCUUAGAUCAAUUGCAGUUAAACCGUUGUAAUGAAAAUAGCGGCUUACUUAAUAUUGUGUACAAUAUGUUGCUCAACUAUUUUAAAACAUACUUAUCGAAAUUUAAAUGUGAUUACGAGAACCAAAAGAUUUUUAAUAUUUCCACGACAAGCUCCAACGCGGCAUCAGUUUAUAACUGGAAUUGGCAUACCAGCAGAUCUUAAAUAUGAAUCCCUUACAAUUGGUUAUGUGUUAAAAGCAGAGUUUUAUUUACCCUAUAAUGCAAGUAUUUAUAGGCAAAACCCAUUUUUCCCUGAUUAUAAAACGAUUCAUAAAACUGAAAAUCAACGAAAAUUUAAUAAUGCUAUGGAUAUAAGGUGGAAAGUUUACGAUUUUAUAGAACAAUUGCUUGAAAGUCAUAACUUUGGUGGCCGUGACUGUUUAUUGCAGUCCAUAUGUCUGGCUAACAAACUACGGUUUUCUAAGUAUAUUAGUUUUGCUGACGAAAUCCUACAUAUAAUUUUAAGACCUUCUUCAUCUUUAAACACUCAAUCGGAAUAUUCUUAUGACUUUAUCAUCGCAGAAAAGAAAGCUACAGCAAUGGACUGUGAAAUUUAUAGUUGUAACAUUAAACCAAUUAACUGGGUUUCCAGCGCACUAUGGGGAAUUUGACUACUUUUAGUAGCAUAAACUUAGGCCUAUUUUCUAUUUCUAUUUUAUUUAAAGUCUUUGCUGCCUCUUAACCGAAUGUUUGAACUCAAUUCUUAAGAAUACGCGCCGAAUGAACUAUUAGCAUAUUGACCAAGGAUGUCAUUGCAUGCAUAUUUUUAUAUAAUGAAGAUCAUACAAAAAUUUCUCAUAUAUAUCUACUUUUCCAAAUUUUUCUGAUGUUAAAAAAAUAAAAUAUUUGUCUAAUGUCAGUUAUUGCGGAAACUUUUACAAAUGGGUCUUUUACAAAUAUUUUUUUUAACUAUUUUGGAUCUAAUUUAGGCUUAAGUUACCAUCCAACCAAUAAUUAGUUCAACAAAAAGUGUUUUUUUUAUACUGUGUGUUUUAUAUAUGCAGAAGGUAUUAUAAUUUUGGUCAAAAGUGUGCAACGCAAUGAACGAGACAUCUCCGACCCUAUAAAGUAUAUACAUAUAUUCUUGAUCAGGAUCACCUCCUGAGAUGAUAGGGACAUGAUUUCUAUACAACGAAAAAAUAAGCAAAAUAGUAGUAUUUACACAUACACAAAACAUAAAUUUAAAAUACCCAAUUUAAAGGAUCUAGGAAAAAUAUAUUGUUUUCUUAAUUUUUCGCUUUCUUAAGUAGAUUUCAAUAUUUCUGUGGUAUAUUUAUUACAAUCAGUUGGCUUUGACAUUAGUUUAAUUAACUUAAGAAUAGAUUAAUCUGUACACUUUUAGUCCAUAUAAUAUAUUAACGGAAUUAAAAA